UGGGGAAUUUUGGACAAUGGGCGAAAGCCUGAUCCAGCCAUGCCGCGUGUGUGAAGAAGGUCUUCGGAUUGUAAAGCACUUUAAGUUGGGAGGAAGGGUUGUAGAUUAAUACUCUGCAAUUUUGACGUUACCGACAGAAUAAGCACCGGCUAACUCUGUGCCAGCAGCCGCGGUAAUACAGAGGGUGCAAGCGUUAAUCGGAAUUACUGGGCGUAAAGCGCGCGUAGGUGGUUUGUUAAGUUGGAUGUGAAAUCCCCGGGCUCAACCUGGGAACUGCAUCCAAAACUGGCAAGCUAGAGUAUGGUAGAGGGUGGUGGAAUUUCCUGUGUAGCGGUGAAGUGCGUAGAUAUAGGAAGGAACACCAGUGGCGAAGGCGACCACCUGGACUGAUACUGACACUGAGGUGCGAAAGCGUGGGGAGCAAACAGGAUUAGAUACCCUAGUAGUCCCUGAGCGGGCUGGCAAGGCGCAU
rnacentral:rRNA from 1 species